rnacentral:rRNA from 1 species
CCUACGGGUGGCAGCAGUGAGGAAUAUUGGUCAAUGGACGAGAGUCUGAACCAGCCAAGUAGCGUGAAGGAUGACUGCCCUAUGGGUUGUAAACUUCUUUUAUAUGGGAAUAAAAUGUUCCACGUGUGGGAUUUUGUAUGUACCAUAUGAAUAAGGAUCGGCUAACUCCGUGCCAGCAGCCGCGGUAAUACGGAGGAUCCGAGUGUUAUCCGGAUUUAUUGGGUUUAAAGGGAGCGUAGGUGGAUUGUUAAGUCAGUUGUGAAAGUUUGUGGCUCAACCGUAAAAUUGCAGUUGAAACUGGCAGUCUUGAGUACAGUAGAGGUGGGCGGAAUUCGUGGUGUAGAGGUGAAAUGCUUAGAUAUCACGAAGAACUCCGAUUGCGAAGGCAGUUCACUGGACUGCAACUGACACUGAGGCUCGAAAGUGUGGGUAUCAAACAGGAUUAGAUACCCCAGUAGUC